AUUGAACGCUGGCGGCAUGCUUUACACAUGCAAGUCGAACGGUAACAGGCCUUCGGGUGCUGACGAGUGGCGAACGGGUGAGUAAUGCAUCGGAACGUACCCAGAGGUGGGGGAUAACGCAGCGAAAGCUGUGCUAAUACCGCAUGUGAUCUGAGGAUGAAAGCGGGGGACCGAGCAGCAAUGUUUGGCCUCGCGCCUUUGGAGCGGCCGAUGUCGGAUUAGCUAGUUGGUGGGGUAAAGGCCUACCAAGGCGACGAUCCGUAGCUGGUCUGAGAGGACGACCAGCCACACUGGGACUGAGACACGGCCCAGACGCCUACGGGAGGCAGCAGUGGGGAAUUUUGGACAAUGGGCGCAAGCCUGAUCCAGCAAUGCCGCGUGCGGGAAGAAGGCCUUCGGGUUGUAAACCGCUUUUGGCAGGAACGAAACGGUGUCCGCUAAUACCGGGCGCUAAUGACGGUACCUGCAGAAUAAGCACCGGCUAACUACGUG
rnacentral:rRNA from 1 species